rnacentral:rRNA from 1 species
GUCUACGGCCAUGCCGCCCUGAACAAGCCCAACCCCAUCUGAUCUCGGAAGCUAAGCAGGGCUGGGCCUGGUUAGUACUUGGAAGGGAGACCACCUAGGAAGACCAGGUGCUGUAGGUG